CUGGCCCAGACUCCUACGGGAGGCAGCAGUAGGGAAUCUUCCGCAAUGGACGAAAGUCUGACGGAGCAACGCCGCGUGAGUGAUGAAGGGUUUCGGCUCGUAAAACUCUGUUGUUAAGGAAGAAUACUUGAGGUAGUAACUGGCCUUGAGAUGACGGUACUUAACCAGAAAGCCACGGCUAACUACGUGCCAGCAGCCGCGGUAAUACGUAGGUGGCAAGCGUUAUCCGGAAUUAUUGGGCGUAAAGCGCGCGUAGGCGGUAAGAUAAGUCUGAUGUGAAAGCCCCCGGCUCAACCGGGGAGGGUCAUUGGAAACUGUUUACUUGAGUACAGAAGAGGAGAGUGGAAUUCCAUGUGUAGCGGUGAAAUGCGCAGAGAUAUGGAGGAACACCAGUGGCGAAGGCGGCUCUCUGGUCUGUUACUGACGCUGAGGUGCGAAAGCGUGGGGAUCAAACAGGAUUAGAUACCCUGGUAGUCCACGCCGUAAACGAUGAGUGCUAAGUGUUGGGGGUUUCCGCCCUCAGUGCUGCAGCUAACGCUAA
rnacentral:rRNA from 1 species